GUACGCUCAUUUAGUAGUACAUAUAUUGCAAUUGAAAAAAUCAGAAAAGAUGAGCAUGGCACCCAUGUUAAGACGAAAUUUUGCUUCAUGAAGAAUUUAAUAUUUUC
ensembl:snRNA U6 U6 spliceosomal RNA